UCUUGAACUAUUGCAGCGUUUGGGGUGUAGGGACACCCACAGCUCCAUUCGGAGGUGGAUCCACUAACAGCAAAGGAAGCUCAAUACAAUUCCCCGUCAGUCAAAACUCACUGGAAGCCUGAAGAAAACCAAAUUACCUUUCCAGCACGAAUUGUUGUAAGCAGUGACGUUUAUCUGAUAAGUCAGAGAGCUUCUCGAAAUGCACCAGGCAUCCGGUGUCUCUCACCAACCAGUAGAAGCAUCCAGAGGAAGUAAAUUAAAUCUGCCAUCUGACCAGUAUGUGCCUCCAGAACUACACUGAUAUGGUGACCUCUGAGGUGGCCCACGGAA